ACGGGUGUAGCUCAGUUGGUAGAGCAUCGGUCUCCAAAACCGAGUGUCGUGCGUUCGAGUCGUACCUCCCGUG
rnacentral:tRNA from 3 species